rnacentral:rRNA from 1 species
CCUACGGGACGCAGCAGUGGGGAAUAUUGCACAAUGGGCGCAAGCCUGAUGCAGCCAUGCCGCGUGUAUGAAGAAGGCCUUCGGGUUGUAAAGUACUUUCAACGGGGAGGAAGGCGAUAAGGUUAAUAACCUUGUCGAUUGACGUUACCCGCAGAAGAAGCACCGGCUAACUCCGUGCCAGCGGCCGCGGUAAUACGGAGGGUGCAAACGUUAAUCGGAAUUACUGGGCGUAAAGCGCACGCAGGCGGUCUGUCAAGUCGGAUGUGAAAUCCCCGGGCUCAACCUGGGAACUGCAUUCGAAACUGGCAGGCUGGAGUCUUGUAGAGGGGGGUAGAAUUCCAGGUGUAGCGGUGAAAUGCGUAGAGAUCUGGAGGAAUACCGGUGGCGAAGGCGGCCCCCUGGACAAAGACUGACGCUCAGGUGCGAAAGCGUGGGGAGCAAACAGGAUUAGAUACCCUUGUAGUC